AAGUAGGUGGCUAAGGAACAGUCAUUGCCCCUCUAUACAAGUAGGUUGCUAAGGCACAGUCUAUAAGAUAGGACGCCUUCACUUCAUUGCCCCUCUAUACAAGUAGGUGGCUAAGGAACAGUCUAUAAGAUAGGACGCCUUCACUUCAUUGCCCCUCUAUACAAGUAGGUGGCUAAGGAACAGUCAUUGCCCCUCUUUACAAGUAGGUUGCUAAGGCACAGUCUGUAAUAUAGGGCACCUUCACUUCAUUGCCCCUCUAUACAAGUAGGUGGCUAAGGAACAGUCAUUGCCCCUCUUUACAAGUAGGUUGCUAAGGCACAGUCUGUAAGAUAGGGCACCUUCACUUCAUUGCCCCUCUAUACAAGUAGGUGGCUAAGGAACAGUCAUUGCCCCUCUAUACAAGUAGGUUGCUAAGGCACAGUCUAUAAGAUAGGACGCCUUCACUUCAUUGCCCCUCUAUACAAGUAGGUGGCUAAGGAACAGUCUAUAAGAUAGGACGCCUUCACUUCAUUGCCCCUCUAUACAAGUAGUUGGCUAAGGAACAGUCAUGGCCCCUCUAUACAAGUAGGUUGCUAAGGCACAGUCUAUAAGAUAGGACGCCUUCACUUCAUUUCCCCUCUAUACAAGUAGGUUGCUAAGGCACAGUCUGUAAGAUAGGGCACCUUCAC